rnacentral:rRNA from 1 species
GGCCCUACGGGGGGCAGCAGUGGGGAAUAUUGCACAAUGGGGGGAACCCUGAUGCAGCGACGCCACAUGAGUGAAGAAGUAUUUCGGUAUGUAAAGCUCUGUCAGCAGGGAAGAAGAAAGACGGUACCUGACCAAGAAGCCCCGGCUAACUACGUGCCAGCAGCCGCGGUAAUACGUAGGGGGCAAGCGUUAUCCGGAUUUACUGGGUGUAAAGGGCGUGUAGGCGGGUCUGCAAGUCAGAUGUGAAAUCUCAUGGCUCAACCAUGGAACUGCAUUUGAAACUGUAGAUCUUGAGUGAUGGAGAG